UACGUAGGGUGCGAGCGUUGCCCGGAUUUAUUGGGCGUAAAGAGCUCGUAGGCGGUUCGGUAAGUCGGAUGUGAAAUCUCCACGCUCAACGUGGAGGGGCCAUUCGAUACUGCCGUGACUCGAGUCCGGUAGGGGAGUGUGGAAUUCCCGGUGUAGCGGUGAAAUGCGCAGAGAUCGGGAGGAACACCCGUAGCGAAGGCGGCACUCUGGGCCGGUACUGACGCUGAGGAGCGAAAGCGUGGGGAGCAAACAGG
rnacentral:rRNA from 1 species